GCGCAGCAGGCGCGAAAACUUUACAAUGCGGGAAACCGUGAUAAGGGAACUCUGAGUGCCCGUAAAAUCGGGCUGUCCAUCAGUGUAAAUAACUGGUGAAGAAAGGGCCGGGCAAGACCGGUGCCAGCCGCCGCGGUAAUACCGGCGGCUCGAGUGGUGGCCACUAUUACUGGGCUUAAAGCGUCCGUAGCAGGGUUGUUAAGUCUCUUGGGAAAUCUACCGGCUCAACCGAUAGGCGUUCAGGGGAUACUGGCAACCUAGGGACCGGAAGAGGUGAGAGGUACUCCAGGGGUAGGAGUGAAAUCCUGUAAUCGC
rnacentral:rRNA from 1 species